rnacentral:rRNA from 1 species
UACGGAGGAUCCGAGCGUUAUCCGGAUUUAUUGGGUUUAAAGGGAGCGUAGGCGGAGGAUCAAGUCCGCUGUGAAAUGUAGACGCUCAACGUCUGCACUGCAGUUGAAACUGGUCCCCUUGAGUGCGUAAGGGGCAGGCGGAAUUCGUCGUGUAGCGGUGAAAUGCUUAGAUAUGACGAAGAACUCCGAUCGCGAAGGCAGCUUGCCGGGCCGCAACUGACGCUGAAGCUCGAAGGUGCGGGUAUCGAACAGGAUUAGAUACCCUGGUAGUCCGCACAGUAAACGAUGGAUACUCGCUGUCGGCGAUAUACGGUCGGUGGCCAAGCGAAAGCGUUAAGUAUCCCACCUGGGGAGUACGCCGGCAACGGUGAAACUCAAAGGAAUUGACGGGG